UACGUAAGGUCCGAGCGUUGUCCGGAAUCAUUGGGCGUAAAGGGUACGUAGGCGGAUAAGCAAGUUAGAAGUGAAAUCCUAUAGCUCAACUAUAGUAAGCUUUUAAAACUGCUCAUCUUGAGGUAUGGAAGGGAAAGUGGAAUUCCUAGUGUAGCGGUGAAAUGCGCAGAGAUAUGGAGGAACACCAGUGGCGAAGGCGACUUUCUGGCCAUUUUCUGACGCUGAGGUACGAAAGCGUGGGUAGCAAACAGG
rnacentral:rRNA from 1 species